rnacentral:rRNA from 1 species
UACGGAGGGUGCAAGCGUUGCUCGGAAUCAUUGGGCGUAAAGCGUACGCAGGCUGUUCGUUAAGUCGGGUGUGAAAGCCCAGGGCUCAACCCUGGAAUGGCGCCCGAAACUGGCGAGCUUGAGUGCGGGAGAGGGAAGCGGAAUUCCUGGUGUAGAGGUGAGAUUCGUAGAUAUCAGGAGGAACACCGGUGGCGAAAGCGGCUUCCUGGCCCGACACUGACGCUCAUGUACGAAAGCGUGGGGAGCAAACAGG